ACUUAAUAACAGGGCAGUGCCUCUUUUUACCCAGAAGUCCGAUCCCCCUGGACCUGCGUUUAAAUCGACCGCUACUACGAACGAUGGUCUUCCUUGAUCCCCGCUUCUUUGGGGGUAAUAAUAACAGGGACAUGUGUAGAGUCCUGUGCAGAGAAAUCGAAAGAGAGUAUGUAAUUACUUGAAUUAAUUAGAAAAUGCUCUUCCGCGGGUCGGAAGUGAAUCACCGGCAUGUUGCAAACAAGUUGCAUAGGGGACGGUUCGACGAGGACACUGUUCCUCUUGUCCCAGCCAGCGCCUUCCAGAAAGAUAGAGCGUAUGUACACGCCGUCCUGUAAUGGAAUGUACACACGGUUAGAAGCAUGCACACACGCCGCCACUUUCCUAGCGAUAUCACUACGAUGAAUUUUUUAUCCUAUCUAUUUUUCCGCGGACAGGGAAUCGAUAGAGACGUUCCAGAGCCUGGCGGAUGUCUGCAAUACAGCGGUAAGGAAGCCGGUUGGGAACGUGAAUGCGGCCAGCCAGAACAGCAGCGGCGGAUGAGUAGUUCGAGCCCAUUCAUUGAAGUGUUCCACCCUGCUGACUAAAUCCCUUGUCCAAGCACCCAACAGUUUCAACGACGGAUACGUUGUCAGCCAAAUCGAAGGGACUCGACCUUCGUGUACACAGGAAAUCGCGGGUUCACCUGUACGUUCUUCGAAGUCGUCUGGGCGGACAUGUUCAGAGUCAGCACGCUGUAUUUCUCUUCGUCUAGGAAGUUUAAUACCGACUGGAGUAUCGACGUCUUUCCCGUGCCUACGGGGCCUACUAUAAGAACUGGGAAUUGGUUCUUUAGCAGCGAGUUUACGAUAAACUCGUAUCGAACUGUGUCUACGGUCGGCACUACUAUCUUGUAGAACGGCAUCCUGAGAAAUAAAAUUUUUUUGGUAUACGAUAGUGUAAUACAGGGGCGCAAAUAGAAACAUACACUUUCGUUGGAAAGUCUUAGAAGAACCAAUAAAGUCUUGGAAAGAUAAUAAAAUGUAAA